CAUAUCCAAAAAUAACUAAUGGAUUUAGCGUUGGGCUAUUGAUAAAACGAACAUCACCACCACCGGGUGCCCAAGUAUCAUAAAUACCACCAACAAACAUUGCUUUAAUUACUAAUAAGAAUGAACCAAUUCCUAACAAAACUAAAUGAAUACCUAAGAUUGUAGUCAUUUUAUUCUUAUCACGCCA
rnacentral:antisense_RNA from 1 species